rnacentral:rRNA from 1 species
GACGAACCGUGCGAACGUUGUUCGGAAUCACUGGGCUUAAAGGGCGCGUAGGCGGUCGAUCAAGUCCGGGGUGAAAUCCUGCAGCUUAACUGUAGAAGUGCCUUGGAUACUGAUCGGCUCGAGGGAGGUAGGGGUCUGUGGAACUUCUGGUGGAGCGGUGAAAUGCGUUGAUAUCAGAAGGAACGCCGGUGGCGAAAGCGGCAGACUGGACCUCUUCUAACGCUGAGGCGCGAAAGCUAGGGGAGCAAAC